AUUGAACGCUGGCGGCAGGCCUAACACAUGCAAGUCGAGCGGCAGCGGGAAAGUAGCUUGCUACUUUUGCCGGCGAGCGGCGGACGGGUGAGUAAUGCCUGGGGAUCUGCCCAGUCGAGGGGGAUAACUACUGGAAACGGUAGCUAAUACCGCAUACGCCCUACGGGGGAAAGCAGGGGACCUUCGGGCCUUGCGCGAUUGGAUGAACCCAGGUGGGAUUAGCUAGUUGGUGAGGUAACGGCUCACCAAGGCGACGAUCCCUAGCUGGUCAGAGAGGAUGAUCAGCCACACUGGAACUGAGACACGGUCAAGACUCCUACGGGAGGCAGCAGUGGGGAAUAUUGGACAAUGGGGGAAACCCUGAUGCAGCCAUGCCGCGUGUGUGAAGAAGGCCUUCGGGUUGUAAAGCACUUUCAGCGAGGAGGAAAGGUCAGUAGCUAAUAUCUGCUGGCUGUGACGUUACUCGCAGAAGAAGCACCGGCUAACUCCGUGCCAGCCGCCGCAGUAACAC
rnacentral:rRNA from 1 species